rnacentral:rRNA from 1 species
UACAGAGGGUGCGAGCGUUGUCCGGAAUCACUGGGCGUAAAGGGCGCGUAGGCGGCCUGAUAAGUAGGGGGUGAAAUCCUGUGGCUCAACUGCAGGGCUGCCUCCUAGACUGUCGGGCUUGAGCACGGUAGAGGCAGAUGGAAUUCCCGGUGUAGCGGUGGAAUGCGUAGAGAUCGGGAAGAACAUCGGUGGCGAAGGCGGUCUGCUGGGCCGUUGCUGACGCUGAGGCGCGAAAGCUAGGGGAGCAAACGGG